rfam:Oryza nivara chromosome 9, whole genome shotgun sequence.
AUCCCAUGAUGAGGACAGACGGCCACGUAUUCCUGCGGACGUUCCCAUGCUUCGGGAAUUGAUUCAUCCCUUGUCUGCUGAAAGCUUGAGAUCCUUCCACGAAGGGC